rnacentral:rRNA from 1 species
GGGUCCGGACACACUGAGGAUUGACAGAUAUACGCUCAUUGCUGCGUGCUUCGGCGCGUGCUUUGAGUUGAAAGAUGCUAGUUCUUUCAUGAUUAUGUGAUAGGUGGUGCAUGGCCGUUCUUAGUUCGUGGAGUGAUCUGUCUGCUUAAUUGCGUAUCAAUAAUAGAGACCUAGUAUACGCGUGGAUUUCGCGUGGUAGUGACCCCCUGUUUAACGACAGGCGUGUGUCGCACACGCGUACCUACGCACUGGUCUCAGAUAGCAACGAACGUGACCGUAUUCUAUUGUUGCAGUGAAAUGUGCCUUCUGGGUACGACCCACUGCUUAGUAUAUGUACGUGCUUCGGCGCGAACAAUAUACAUUAAACUAUAGAGACCGCUGUUUCUUCUUUAAACCAGAGGAAGGAUACGGCAAUAACAGGUCUGUGAUGCCCUCAGAUGUUCCGGGCUGCACACGUGCUACAAUGAUCAUUGCACUGUGCAUCUAACCCAAUGUGCGUGGACGCCGCAUGCAUGUGCCUUCGGGUACACGCAUUGCUGUUGCGACCACGCCGAACCUACUUCGAAAGUAAAAUUUCUCAGUGGGU